CAACACGAUUUAGGUCCCCCUUGAAAUCUGAGCGGUACCCCCUGCGACGGCAAAACUAACACCCCCGUUUUCUCCGCAGCGGAUGAACGGAUGCGCGAUGGACAAGAAGUCAAAUCUUGAGCAGCCGGAGAAGGAAGUCGGUCUACAUGAAUUCCUACCGGCCUACAUCAUCAACACCACCAAACAGAAAACGUUACGUAAGGCUUUGCAGGGAAACUUUAAGAAAUUCUCGGCGUUCUUCGAUUACGAAUCUCACUUCAAGUGCCUCGAGAUUUUGGGAAAAGUUGGAAAGUUUGACAUCGAAAACUUCCGCUGUGCACUCGGCUGUGGUUGGUCUAUUCCUGUCACUCUGCUUGUCGGCCCAAGUGUUGGUAUUUCCUACUGGACAGAUUCUGCCUCUGCCGUAGCAGGUACUACAGAAGCCCUCACCAUCACCAUCACCUGCCCCUCCAUUGGCGGAGCAGAGAGCUUAGCAGACCUGGUUGACAGCUACUGCAGGCUUGUCAACCAAUCCAGCAUGUCGCUGUGGACUGUGUGGAGAGAGAGAGAGAGAGAGAGAGAGAGA